rnacentral:lncRNA from 1 species
AACCCGGCCGACAGAAGAUGGCGGAUGAGCAGCGUGCAGGGUUUUCUCCCUGUGGCUCACUCUCUCUUACUGUGCUGGGCGGUUGCUUCCUCUCCUGCUGCCCUUGGGAGUCAGACUCCAGGUUCUUCAGCCUGUGGCCCCUGGGGCUCUCGGGCCUUGGAGGACUGACUAGGAGCACACGGUGGGCCUCUCUGGUUUGGGGGCCUGGGACGUGGCGGAGCCCUGCAGCUUCUGUGCGGCCUGUUCUGGGCGUCGCGUUGAAACGCCAGCCAGUUCCCCAAGUAAGCUCCCUGCACACACGCCUGAUAGCCUGUUGGUUCCGUCCUUCUGCGGGAUUUUCACUACCACUCUCUAACUCACACACAGCAGAAAGAGCAUACGGGAGAGAUGAAGCAGUCCACUCCAAGAACAUUCUCAUCCUACGGAUUACGAGUCCCCCUGGGAUUACAGGAGUGUUGAAGAAAUGUUGUGACACAUCAGAACACCGCGAAAUACAUGGACACUUUCAAAUCAUGGAAGACUCAAGCCCACCAGGUAUUUUUGAAAAAAGUACUCUGUGAAAAACAGAAACUGCAAGCAAGACAGAUACCAGGAUUAGGGAUCACGGUGACUUCUACCAUCGCUGGAUACUCCCAAAAGGGUUCUCGAGACAGCAGCUGUGUCUGCCCUGCUUUGGCAUUCUUUCCCAGGCAUGGCGACCGGUCAGGAGGGCAUCUUUCUCGGCUCUUCACUGUGAGAACCUUGUGGGAUUCCUGAAGAUGAAACCAUGAACGCGAGGGAGUCUUGCUAAAACUGCAGCAUUCGAGAGGUUUUCACUCAUGCUGGCUCACACUUGUCCUCUAGCAAUUCAUCAAAAUUACCACGACAAAGAAGACAGAAAAUACUACACACUACCCAGAGAUUGAAACUGAAGGUGUGAACAACAGAGAAAAGAGAGGGCAAAGAAAAGGAAAACAAAGAAGACGUGGGAUAUGAAAGGUGUAUGCCAUGUGUGGACAUCAAGAAAUGUUUCAGCUCGCACUUCUGCCACCAAUUGAGCCUGGAACCUCACUACUUGGAGUUGGGGGGAGGGCAGUGCUCAUUCAUCACCUGUGAAAAUAGGGAUUGAGAGUUCCCUAACUUUGCCAUUUUUCCUCAAGCACUGGCAUUGGUCUUCUGAAUGUCAGGCUCUGUAUAAGUGAGUCCUCAGCUGAGCCACAGGCUCUGCAUUCCUGGCAGUCCACACACUUCAUAUCCUUUGUUUAUGCUGCUCAUUUUGGAAUUCAAACAGGUUGGUGGGGCACAUUUCAACAGAUAAUGACACACACUGACUGCUCAUGAGCUAUUUUAUGGUGUGAGAAUGUUGUGAUGUUAUGAAAUGCGGAGGCAUUAAAACAUGGGGACAUUUUCUAGAAGAUCCUUAGCAGAGAGUACAGAAGACUAAGGUCCAAAUCUCUGAAAUGAUGUUUUCCAAAUUAUUGCACAGCUAUGUCAAAGUACCUUGAUCCAGUUAAUGUUAACAAAUAAAAAAUUAUGAAAUGUUAUUUUCUAGGUAUGGAUAGUAGUGGAUAGUAGUAGAUCUGUUGUGUAGUGGAGAUUACUUAGGAAGAAUAAAUUUCAACUUUACCAAGAAAGUACUACAUUAAUUGCAUUAGGGAAUUGUGAAUUGCAUUAGGAAAAUGCUCAUUCUUCUUUCAAUAGCCAAUAUCUGGAUACUAUACUCUCUUGAAUUUCUAAGAUUUGCAUCCAAUAUUCUAUAAUUAGCUUUCCAGUUUAUUGAAUGAUUUAAUUUACAUACAAAUAUUUUCUAAUAUAUUCCCUGUAAAAUAGUUUAAAAAAUUAAACGUUUCUCUAAUUACACAUUCCUCCCUAGCUGAUACAAUUUCAUUUAUUUGCUUACUUUCCCAGCUGGACAUUCAGAAAUUUUUUACUCAUAUUGUCUUCAAUUGCAUAUUUGCCAGUUUCUAGCUUUUAUUUUAUUUUUUAUAUCCAUUUUGUUCUAGGUGUGGAAAUUGCUAAGUGUAGAGCUUAAUAAUAUUUCACCAGAAAGAUAUGUGUCUAACUCCCUCAUGAAGAAAUAGUAUGUUACCAACACUCCCAAAUUUCCUUUGAUGUCAAAAAGCAUUAUUUUUCUCGAGUCUUUUUUUGUGUUGGUAUGAUAUAUAAACGAAAUCAUAUACACAUUUAUUUUUUCAUUUAGAUACUUUCCUUCAGUAUUAUGAUUGAGACAUUAACCUCAGUUUAAGUAUUUAUGUCAUUUUCAUUGCUAGUUCAUUGUAAGAAGCACACCUUUUAUUUAUCUAUUCCCUUAAUACAUAUUCCUGUUUCCAGUGUUAGAUUAAUGCAAAUAAGGCUAUCGUGAGCAUUCUUUUACAUGUUUUUCAGUGUACAAAUAUAUGCUGAGAGAGGAAUUACUGAAUCACAGAAAGCAGUAUAUGCAGCUAUAAUAGAUAUUACCAUAUCCACCAAACGUUUAGCAUUUCCUGUUUCAUUUUAUUCACUCUGGGGGAUGUAUAGAGAUUUCACAUUACAUUAUAAUUUAAUUUCUCUAAUGUCUAAUGAUGGGGAGCACCUUUUUCAUGUUUUUAUUGUCAAUUUGGCUAUCUUCUUUUUCUAAAUGCAUGUUCAAGUAUUUCAUCCAUUUUUAUUGGUCUUCUUUUUUUACUGGUUUAAUUGAAUUCUUUACAUAUUAUGGAUAUGAGCUCUUUGUCAAUUUUAUAUGUAUGCUUAUAUUCACUCCUACUUCACUCUGCAGCUUGCUUUUUAUUUUUAUGCUUUUAAUAAUGAACAUAAUUUCUUUAUUUUAAUAAAUAUCAUUAUUUUUCUUUAUGGUUAGUGUAUUUGCAACUAGGUUAACAAAUAUUUAUCUCCUUUACAGGCACUAAUAUAUUUCCCAACGUUAUCUUCCAAAAGAGGUCAUGUUGUACCUCUUGUAUUUAGGUAUACAAUACAUCUGAAAUUGAUUUUUGUGUGUGUUGCAGUUAGUAAUGAAGAUUCUCUUUUGAUAUAAAUAUCUAACUGAUUCAGCAUUAUUUCUUUAAAAGGCCACUUAUUUUCAUUGCUGUUGUAAGGAAGGAACAAAGGUUUCUUGUCAUGGCUUUCCUUCUGUAUUGCUCAGUCUCCCUAAAGUAAGUCUAGAAAAUUAAAGAAUUUUUUGAAUUGUUUUUUAUGAAUCAGGCAUUUCUCUAAAUAUGCCAGUCUAUUUCUAGACUAUAUUUGAAUUUGUCUUUAUGCUUUGUUCUAGUGCACACUGUCUUGAACAUUAUAUUUUUAUAAGUAUUGAUAUUUUAUAUUUUUAUUCUGAUUAAUUCAUUUAACUUGCUUUAUAAAUCUUUUGUGAAACAAGAAUGUUAUUUUUGAAGUGGCAGCAUUUAAAGAAUGUUACUUUAUUCAGCUCAAAAUCAUGUAUUACAUACUAUACUGUACUAAGUAUAUAUAUAUACACACACAUAUAUAUACACACAUAUAUACACACACAUAUAUAUACACACACACACACACACACACACACACAUAUAUAUAUAUAUAUAUAUGCACAUUUAAUACCCAAAAAAUCCCAAUCAGGUGUGCACUAUUAGUAUUCUCAUAUUGUAAUUGAAGAAACAAAGUCACAGAGGCACAGGCACAAAGAAGUUAAGCAGAAUGUGAAUGCGAGAUACCUAACACAUGGUGAGUGGAAAUGUCUGUAUUUGAAUCUAGGCACCUGGCUGCAGACUAAGUGCUUUUAGAGACUAUGCUUUGCUGAUUUUCAUUUCAGAGGUGAUUUUACUUUUCUUCUUAAGGUUUUUCAGGAAAGAAUUGGUGGCUGAGAAUAGAUUUUAGAUGUAGAAAUUGUAAGAAGAAGCUGGGGGAGGUGGCUUACACCUGUAAUCCCAGCACUUUGGGAGGCCGAGGCGGGUGGAUCACCUGAGGUCAGGAGUUUGAGACCAGCCUGACCAACAUGGUGAAACCCCGUCUCUACUAAAAAUAAAAAAAAUUAGCCAGGCAUGGUGGUGGGUGCCUUUAAUCCCAGCUACUCAGGAGGCUGAGGCAGGUGAAUCGCUUGAAGCCAGGAGGCAGAGAUUGCAGUGAGCCGAGAUUGCGCCAUUGCACUCCAGCCUGGACAAAAAGAGUGAAACUCCAUGUCAAA